GGGCUUUUAAUGGAGAGAAGUAUGGAUGUAUUUUUUGGCCCGAGGGAGAAGAAGAGAGUCCCCUGCCUAGAGCUCUUCCUCCUUUUUAUAGGAGGGGGUGUAGCGGUUACCUAUGAUCGGAUGUGAUUGUGCGAAUCAAUGAAUUACCAUAAACGGCCCGAGAUUUUGGGUUAGCUGGCGAUCCGUUGAGAUCGUGUGCAUUCAAAUGUUAACAGCCAUUGAGGUAGAGAUCGCGGGAUUUGAUUCCGGAUAUGGAGGACUUGAUUUUCGGUGUAGUGGGGAGGUCUACUUCUCCCUUUGAUUGGGUCUUUCUUGGCCGUGAGGUCGAUCGGGCUUAACUCUGCCGAGACCAUGCCUGCCAAGGUCAUACCGAGAUCGAGGUCGUGAGCUCUAUAGUCGUCAAUGCCGAGACCAAGCGCUCUGAGGUCGGGCGCUCGGAGGUCGUGACUGCUGAGAAUAUGCUUGAUGUCGUCAUGUUCGUC
rnacentral:lncRNA from 1 species